rnacentral:rRNA from 1 species
AUACGGAGGGUGCAAGCGUUAAUCGGAAUUACUGGGCGUAAAGAGUACGUAGGUGGUUUGUUUAGUCAGAUGUGAAAGCCCCGGGCUCAACCUGGGAACUGCAUUUGAAACUGGCAAACUAGAGUAUGGUAGAGGGGGGUAGAAUUUCUAGUGUAGCGGUGAAAUGCGUAGAUAUUAGAAGGAAUACCAGUGGCGAAGGCGGCCCCCUGGACCAAUACUGACACUGAGGUACGAAAGCGUGGGUAGCGAACAGGAUUAGAUACCCUUGUAGUCC